AUUAGAAGUUUGCAUCAAAGUUCUAAAACUUGAUGGUUUCUAUUGAAAAAGUUAUAAAACACUUCGUCAAGUAAUAGAAUAUUAUGUUAGGUUACAAAAUAUCCUGUCAAAAAAAGUUAAAGAUACUGUUUAAAUUUUGCUAGAGAAGCAGCGUAUAAUUUAAUAUAAUAGAAUGCUAGGUAUUAAAAUCAUAAUUUUUAAAGUUUAGAUAACUACAAAAAAUGCAGUUGGAGUGAAGU
rnacentral:lncRNA from 1 species